AUGAAGGAGGGAAUUGGAUGGAAGAGGUGCAACACACAAACCCCGAAGUCCUACAGAGAGUUCAAUAUUGGCACGGGGGGAAAUGUGAAUAUUUGGACUGACCCGUGGAUCCCUUCGAGUCAGGAUAGGAAAAUCAUAUCACACCGAGGCCAAACCAUUCUUUCUUCCGUGAGUGACCUCAUCGAUCCAACGACAGAAACAUGGGACGAAGAAUUGGUCCGAAUAAUCUUUAAUCCAGUGGAUGUCAGGAGAAUACUCCAAAUCCCUCUGAAUGUCAGAGCUUUUGAGGAUUUCAUUGCGUGGAACCCAGACGACACAUCGGCUCGGAUGCGGCAUGCCCGGGAACUCUGGAACAACCUUGGCAUUUCAGAAAUUGUGGAUGAGGCCAAGCAAAUUGAUAGAUCGGGCUCUGUUAUUAUGGAGCAUCUAUUAAUAGUACCGGACAAGAUCCUGCCAAUUAAGCCAAACUUGAAUAUCAAACAGGUGUUGCUGGUUGGCGCAUGGUAUCUGUGGUGGAUCAGGAGAGAACUUACUCAUAAUGGUAAACCACCACCCUCUAUGAGAUGGCAUAUGUCAGUUCUAGCUAUUGCAAGUAACUUCCAUGAGGCGAACAACAAACAGAAGUGUAUAGGUGAUCAGAGAUGGUGCAAACCUGAAUCAGCAUUUGUGAAGUUGAAUGUGGACGCCGCUUGCUUAGUUGAAGAAGGUGUGGGAGCUACCGCAACAAUUAUCAGGGAUGACAAAGGACAAUUCCUAGCAGGCCAAUGUGAGUAUAUCAUCCACGUACCAGAUGCAGAAAUAGCUGAAGCAACAACAAUGAGGGAUGGUCUUCUUUUUGACAAUUCUUUGGGAUUUCCGAGGGUAGAAGCUGAAUUGGAUUGUCUCAGUGUCAUAAAAUUUUGUCAGGGUCAGUCAAGAUGGUGGAAUGCAACAGCACCGAUAUAUGCAGAGUGUCUGGAUCUGACGUCUUCGAUUGGGAAGGUCGUUUUUAAACACUAUUUACGUUCAAGCAAUCAAGCGGCGCAUGUGCUAGCUAACUUUUGUUAUUGUAACAAGAUCUCUACUACUUGGACGGAGGAGCCCCCGAGCUGCCUCGUCUCUAGUCUCGUGGACGAUGUAUUUCCUUCGUUGAAUCAAUAA
rnacentral:rRNA from 1 species